UACUGAGGGUGCAAGCAUUAAUCGGAUUUAUUGGGCGUAAAGGGCGCGUAGACGGGAAGAAAAGUCAGACGUGAAAUCCCGGGGCUCACCCCCGGAACUGCGUUUGAAACUCUCUUUCUAGAGGGUAGGCGGAGAAAACAGAAUUCCACGUGUAGCGGUGAAAUGCGUAGAUAUGUGGAAGAAUACCGGUGGCGAAGGCGGUUUUCGAGCUUAUACCUGACGUUGAGGCGCGAAAGCAAGGGGAGCAAACAGG
rnacentral:rRNA from 1 species